UUUAUUGGCUUCAAAACUCAAUUAACUAGUUACAAUUUUUUUUCAUCUCACCCCCAGCUCUGUUAUCCUCCCCACUCCACCACCGUCGGCACCACCAAAAAAGUUGCCACCACCUCAAAUCCACAACACACAACCAUCACCAUCACCUCCACCUUAAAUACACCAUCACCUCCACCUCAAAUAUACCACCUCCUCUUUCAAUUUCACAAAUAAGUGUUUAAUAAUAAUUUUUUUUUAAUCAAAACACAGAUAUAUUCACCCCAAAUCACUUAACAAAAAUAAGCUAAAUUGCUGCUCCUUCUGUUUUUCCUCCAUGCCU
rnacentral:lncRNA from 1 species